UACGGGAGGCAGCAGUAGGGAAUCUUCGGCAAUGGACGGAAGUCUGACCGAGCAACGCCGCGUGAGUGAAGAAGGUUUUCGGAUCGUAAAGCUCUGUUGUAAGAGAAGAACGAGUGUGAGAGUGGAAAGUUCACACUGUGACGGUAUCUUACCAGAAAGGGACGGCUAACUACGUGCCAGCAGCCGCGGUAAU
rnacentral:rRNA from 1 species